AUACGGUGAACUGCGAAUGGCUCAUUAAAUCAGUUAUCGUUUAUUUGAUAGUACCUUACUACAUGGAUAACCGUGGUAAUUCUAGAGCUAAUACAUGCUAAAAACCUCGACUUCGGAAGGGGUGUAUUUAUUAGAUAAAAAACCAAUGCCCUUCGGGGCUCCUUGGUGAAUCAUAAUAACUUAACGAAUCGCAUGGCCUUGCGCCGGCGAUGGUUCAUUCCAAUUUCUGCCCUAUCAACUUUCGAUGGUAGGAUAGUGGCCUACCAUGGUAUCAACGGGUAACGGGGAAUUAGGGUUCGACUCCGGAGAGGGAGCCUGAGAAACGGCUACCACAUCCAAGGAAGGCAGCAGGCGCGCAAAUUACCCAAUCCCGACACGGGGAGGUAGUGACAAUAAAUACUGAUACAGGGCUCUUUUGGGUCUUGUAAUUGGAAUGAGUACAAUUUAAAUCCCUUAACGAGGAACAAUUGGAGGGCAAGUCUGGUGCCAGCAGCCGCGGUAAUUCCAGCUCCAAUAGCGUAUAUUAAAGUUG
rnacentral:rRNA from 1 species